GAUGAACGCUGGCGGCGUGCCUAACACAUGCAAGUCGAGCGAUUCUCCUCGGAGAAGAGCGGCGGACGGGUGAGUAACGCGUGGGUAACCUGCCCUGUACACACGGAUAACAUACCGAAAGGUAUGCUAAUACGAGAUAAUAUGCUUUUAUCGCAUGGUAGAAGUAUCAAAGCUCCGGCGGUACAGGAUGGACCCGCGUCUGAUUAGCUAGUUGGUAAGGUAACGGCUUACCAAGGCGACGAGCAGUCGCCGACCUGAGAGGGUGAUCGGCCACAUUGGAACUGAGACACGGUCCAAACUCCUACGGGAGGCAGCAGUGGGGAAUAUUGCACAAUGGGCGAAAGCCUGAUGCAGCAACGCCGCGUGAGCGAUGAAGGCCUUCGGGUCGUAAAGCUCUGUCCUCAAGGAAGAUAAUGACGGUACUUGAGGAGGAAGCCCCGGCUAACUUCGUGCCAGCCGCCGCCGUAACAC
rnacentral:rRNA from 1 species